UACGGAGGGGGCGAGCGUUAUUCGGAAUUAUUGGGCGUAAAGGGCGCGUAGGCGGCCUUGUAAGUCAAAGGUGAAAUCCCUCGGCUCAACUGAGGAACUGCCUUUGAAACUGCAAGGCUUGAGGCCGGGAGGGGGUAGCGGAAUUCCCAAUGUAGCGGUGAAAUGCGUAGAUAUCGGGAGGAACACCAGUGGCGAAGGCGACUACCUGGCCUGUUCUUGACGCUGAGGCGCGAAAGCUAGGGGAGCAAACGGG
rnacentral:rRNA from 1 species